CAGCUAGUUGGUGGGGUAAAGGCCUACCAAGGCAUCGAUCAGUAGCUGGUCUGAGAGGACGACCAGCCACACUGGAACUGAGACACGGUCCAGACUCCUACGGGAGGCAGCAGUGGGGAAUUUUGGACAAUGGGCGAAAGCCUGAUCCAGCAAUGCCGCGUGAGUGAAGAAGGCCUUCGGGUUGUAAAGCUCUUUUGUCAGGGAAGAAACGGUGAGGGCUAAUAUCCCUUGCUAAUGACGGUACCUGAAGAAUAAGCACCGGCUAACUACGUGCCAGCAGCCGCGGUAAUACGUAGGGUGCAAGCGUUAAUCGGAAUUACUGGGCGUAAAGCGUGCGCAGGCGGUUUUGUAAGUCUGUCGUGAAAUCCCCGGGCUCAACCUGGGAAUUGCGAUGGAGACUGCAAGGCUAGAAUCUGGCAGAGGGGGGUAGAAUUCCACGUGUAGCAGUGAAAUGCGUAGAGAUGUGGAGGAACACCGAUGGCGAAGGCAGCCCCCUGGGUCAAGAUUGACGCUCAUGCACGAAAGCGUGGGGAGCAAACAGGAUUAGAUACCCUGGUAGUCC
rnacentral:rRNA from 1 species